GUAUUCUCCACUGGUUGAAUGCAAAUGGAAGCCAGAGGAAAAGGGAACCCUUGACACAGUUUUCAUAUAGAUUGGCCUCCAGGGCAGACAGCAGUUGCUCUGGCUAUAUCAAAUAAAAGUGUCAAGAGUGAGCAUCCUUGCCUUGUGCUGAAUCACAAAGGAAUACCUUUCAGUUUUUCUCCAUUGAUUAUGAUAGCAGUGGGCUUUUCACAGUGGGCUUUACUGUGUUGAGGAGGAGGUCUGAUGGCCGGGAGGACAGGAAGAAGGAACCCACAAUGAAGCAAAAGUUGCGUUUAACUCUGUCCUCACCAUUCCUCUCCUGGACCUGUCCUAAACUGGAAGCUGGGGGAGGAUGGAGUGCUGGAAUGCUGCAGAAGUCUCAUGGGAGGGCGCCUGGUGUUCACCACAUGUGUACACUGUUGCACGACCAG
rnacentral:lncRNA from 1 species